ACGGACUUGAUUGCGAUAAUUUGACGUGUUUAUUGAAAUGGUAUUGACUUGAACGGUGUCUAUCUAUUUUUCGGUGUUCUGUGGCGUCGCUUGGUGGUGCUGUUCGCAGAUGAGUAGACGGAAGGGAAAGUAAAUGGAAGGUGGAAUGAUCGAAGUGCGAGGGUGGUGCUCAUAACGUAUGUGUGUGAGUACCUGCGAAGCUCUGAACACGUGGUGAGAUCCAGCUGUGACUUCCUCUCCCUUCACGCCGUGGCGGAGUGGCUGGGCGCACAAUGGGGAGCUGCAGUUACGAGCGUCGGGUCUGCACCAACAACACCAGGCGUUGACAAGUGUGGGAAAAUACCUGCCCGCCCGCCACCCCUUGUCGCCGCUACCUGCCCCGUGAUCCAUCCUUCCCCUGUCUGCCCCCAUCCAUCUACAUCCAUCUCAACCUCCUUCACAUCAGAAAAUUAGCGAUUACAGCAAAUUGGAACACUAACGGGAACCGCCAUAUUCUACGUCUUGCCGUGAUGUGAUGUUCAUGUUAAAGAUGUUAUGGACUCGAAAUAUUCUGGAAAAUAAAAGUAAACUGGAA